CUUUCCCUCUGGCUGUAGGCCUAACACAUGCAAGUCGAACGGCAGCACAGUAAGAGCUUGCUCUUACGGGUGGCGAGUGGCGGACGGGUGAGGAAUACAUCGGAAUCUACUUUUUCGUGGGGGAUAACGUAGGGAAACUUACGCUAAUACCGCAUACGACCUACGGGUGAAAGCAGGGGAUCUUCGGACCUUGCGCGAUUGAAUGAGCCGAUGUCGGAUUAGCUAGUUGGCGGGGUAAAGGCCCACCAAGGCGACGAUCCGUAGCUGGUCUGAGAGGAUGAUCAGCCACACUGGAACUGAGACACGGUCCAGACUCCUACGGGAGGCAGCAGUGGGGAAUAUUGGACAAUGGGCGCAAGCCUGAUCCAGCCAUACCGCGUGGGUGAAGAAGGCCUUCGGGUUGUAAAGCCCUUUUGUUGGGAAAGAAAAGCAGCAGGUUAAUACCCCGCUGUUCUGACGGUACCCAAAGAAUAAGCACCGGCUAACUUCGUG
rnacentral:rRNA from 1 species